ACCUCAGUCACCUUGAUAAGACUCUCCCUCCACGUGCAGCACAAUCAGCUGGGAGCUGUAAUAUUCCAUCCAUCCAGCUCCGUGUGAGCUUUUCUACAGAUGUGAUCUUUUUGCUGAGAAUCCAGACACCAGCUGAAGUAGCCACACAUCCAGUUCUCCUGUGCCUUUUAGCCCAUUCUGAAGAGAGCAGCCUUCUCCGACAUUCUUUUUGGGAUCCCUACUCUGAAAAUUAAAAUGUCCAAAAUGCCUUCCCAUCAAUAAAUUCUUAUCUACCUCAACAGAAGGCUCAGCAACUUUCAUUCCUGGCCUCUAAUACAAUGCCAGCCCCAUAGAAGGAACUUAACCAGUGUUCCUUAAAUUAGUGAGAAAAUUAAUAAAUGAUUUUCCCAGAACCUAUAAAGAUACAGGUAUAUCAUAAUAAUUGGGUGAAUGCAAAUCACUUUUGGACUCCAACAAAGAGAGUGAAAGCUUUGAAAUUACAAAAGUAUUCCAUAAAGGAGUGUUUUCUUCUGAAAGAAAAUCUCUCAGCUAAGACCUCAAAGACAGUGAUUUACUGAAAAUCUAAAAUGUGGUAUUGCCAUGAUUUAGAGGGGAGUUAUGUUUCCCUCUUUAAAUGUGAUUCACUCUACUUUUCGUAGAGAAUGUAGCUAAAGACAGCCAAGAUCUUUACCAGUUUAUACAUUUAGCUUUGUGAUAAUGCCCAUUCCUUCCAAUCAUUCUUAUUCAGCAGUAUUUUUUAACACAGACUACUUUGAAUCUUUUCUGAAGUAUGUAAGAUUUACUUUACUUUUCACAACCUUUUCUAUUUAAAUGUAUGUAUGUACAAAUAUUAUGUGUACACAGAUAGCUAAUAAGUCAUUUCUUUGACUAAAUUAUAUGUGAUUUCUAUAUAUUUCAGUUCUCUCUGCUCACUUUUUAUUUCCUUGAGCCAUAUUACCACCUACUUUAUAAUGAAAAACUGGCCUAUCAAAUUUUCAUGAAGGAAACUCUGUAACAUUAUUUCCAUUUCCAAAGGAAUUACUUUUAAUUGUUCUGUAAGAACAGCAUGCUACUCAAAAGCCUUCUAAUAUAAUUUAUGUAUUAAGCCUUUAUUUAUAUUCAGCAUAUCAGAAACCCAUCUACUGUCUAAAGUGAGGUUAUACCUAUCUAAUCACUCAUAUAUGCAACAAUUAAAAUGAUUUUUUAAAUGAAGGUGAAUUGAAAUAUCCUUUUAGAACUCUGAUGCAAUAGGCACAACAUAAGAAUUUUAUUAAAACUAAAUAAUACUAUAAAAAAAUAAAAGACCACAGAAAAGAAUAACGGUUCUGAAAAAUCAGUAAUAAGACCAUGUCAAAUCAUCAGUCCUUUUACAUGUUGCAUUACAGUGUAAGUGUUCUUUACAGAAAGACAAGAAGUGCAUUACAAAGAAUAUGGAAAAAAAAAAGAAGAAUGUGAAAACCACCCACAGUCCAGGAAAGAAAAACACUGUUAAAUAGCAUAAGUACCCUUCUAAUCUCUUGUCUGUGCACAUACAUACAUGAACAUAAAUAAAUGCAUAGUUUCCUUUUUCGAAAUUUAGCUCGUACUGAACAUACUGCUUUGCAACCUGCCAGGCCUUUUUAAACCCUGAAAUUCUUAACUCAAGCCCCUGAGGCAAGCCCUGGAAGAAAGGGAGGACCAGGCUUGAAUAGCAAUUUUCUAAGAAAAAGAAAAGGAAGGAAAAAGUGGAAGGCUAAUGAGAUCAAAGAAGACAGGAUAUGGAAGUGAAAGGAUAUCACAGAGGAAGCAAAAGAUAAAGACGGAAUUUUUCAAUUUAAACUCCAUUUUCUAAUUUUCUUAAUUGCAACAACAUUGCACUAUUGUGUGUUUUUGGAAAUUCCACUCUAUGGUUCAGUCAUCCUCUUCGCCUCUUCCUCCCCCUGCUCUGCGGCUGGGGUAGUUUACAGCAUAGUGUAGAGAUGCCAACCACUGGAGCCAAAUUCAAUUCCAAAUCCAAACAUAAGCAAUGUUUGCGAAUAGACACUCCUUUGAGGUUCACCCAACUCCAAUUUUGCCAGUUCCCUCCAGGGAAAGAUUUCCCUUUGAAGCUUCUGUGUAUCCGAAUGCAUUCUGGGAUACAGGUUUGGGUUUCUGGUGUGGGGCCAUUUAUGUAUAGAAUGAAUACGCUCUGCACCUAGCGCUCUCAUGCUUUAUGUGAAACACAGCCUGUGACAACGUAUAGGAAGGCCAGUAUUUGAAGGCAUGGCUGGAAAACAUUUUUGUUCACGUACAUCUAAAUUAAAAUUUAAAAGGCAAAUCAAGAAUACUGAAUUAGCCCAGAUGUUGCAAAGUUAAUAUGCAUGGUGAUUUAUUCAGAAAUGCUCUUAAGUUUAAAAAAAAAAUGGAAAGCAGGGCUUGAAAUGAAACUUAUUUUAAAAUGGUAGUUUUAAAACUGUUCAUUGUACCAAGCACCGUCUGACAGAUAAAUGCCACAGGCUACAACUUGAAAUGCUUACACAAGAACAAAAUUUUCCUAAAGAAAAAUAGCCUACUAAACUAUCGGAGGUGGAGUAUGUUUCUAGUGUACUUGGAAAAGGGGGCGUGUAGUUGAGCAAGUUUAAGGGACUCUACCUGCCCUGAAGACCUGAAAGCACAACUGGAAAAACAAAUGAGCUUUCACUUAAAGUAAACGGGAGUUGGGGGAAGGCUGAGAACUGCAUCUGUGCUGAGAAUUAGUCGCUGACAAAGCCCACGUGUCAGGAAGACCAGCAGCGUUCACUAGUGGUUAUGUUAUUAUCAUGUUGGGGGCACACUGAAUCCAAAGAGUAGUCUUUAAACCCAGUUAGGAACCUGAGCCCCUUCCUUUCCUGGCCUUCUGGGAGGUAUCUUCCCUCUCCUUUUACAACAGAAUGACUUUUGACCAAAGAAAAAAAAAAAAAGACAAGUUAUUGACAUUUUCAAUCUUGGUCUUGGUUGACUCCAUUCUUAAUCCCCCCAACUAUUUCAAUGUCUCCUCUCAGAUUAAACUUUGAGGAGGCUGAGGGUUUGUCUACUUGUUUAAUGCUUAGGCCCCACUCCCCAGGGCCUCCUCAUGAUGUCACACACCCUUCCUGCACUAAGGAAACAUUUGAGAAGAAUGACCUGCGUUAUCAUUUCCUCCUUAAAUUACUAAGAAGGGAUUUGGGAGUGUGCCUGCAGAAUUAUGUCUCCUGGGCCUCUGAGAGUCUUUAUUUUAUACUCAAUUACUUAGCAUUAUCCCUGGAAGUUUCAUUUGGCUGUUUGAUCAAAAAUAAAUACUGGUUGGUUGACCCACCAUCAUGGUCUUUUCCAAAAUACAUCAAUACUUAGAAAAUACUUAUCUUUUACAUUAUUCUGCUUUCCUCCCUUUGUAGAUCCUAGUAUUUACUUGUUAAUUUGGAAUCUCCAUCCUAACAAAAAUUCCCAUAUUGCCCACAUUGACUUUUGAAUUAUUCUCCCUGGACUUCCCUCAAGAGAUAUGCUUUUGACACAAUACAUAUUUGUAAAAUAAUGGUAUAUACAUAGCAUUUUAUAAACAAAUGUAUUGGGCCAAUCAAAGUGUACUUUUUGUAUAUAUAUUCACUUUUAUGAUCAGAAGACUUGUCAUUCCCUUAAAAACUAUGCUAAGCUUGUAUCAUUCACCAAGAUGUGAAAGGUAAGGCAUAUUAAAGAAUUAGACCUUUACCAUCCUAAGUACACUACAUAUACAUUUUUUUCUUUGCUUAGAACUACAUCCAUAUUAUCCUAUUAUGAGUUGAACGAAAUUAGCAUGGCUCCAUGUUUUAGUUAAAUCUGGCAAGAAACCAUGAGAGGACAGAUGAUAAGACUGCUGAUGAGUUGUAAUUCAAAAGUAAGGCUAUUAGCGCACACUUGACAAAUGAUAACAUAAGAUACGGCAGUCACUAAUUAUUCUCUCUACAAAAUUCAGCCCAUGAGACACUGCAGCACAGAGAAAAGAGUGCCAACUUCAGGUAAAAGUCCUAGGUUCCUUCUGGUUUCCUGUCUAGUAUAUAAGGAGCAUGAAAGUUGCCACUCCAUCCUAACAAGUGAAAAGUUGAACAAGCUGAAAAACCAACAACUCUUUCUUAGCUCUCUGAGAGAAGAGAGAUCUCAGGGAAAACUGCUUCCUCCAAAAUUAGAGAGGCAGGUAGGUAGAUACAGAGAAUCACAACUUACCAGAACAGAACCCUAUAAGCAGAAAUUUUCUUGGAAACCAAUGCCAAAGCAGGAGAUCCUGGUCUGUAAUUAAUGAAUUACUGGAAGCUCAGCGUGGACAACACUGAGAAAACAUCAGGGGGACCUAGUCUUGGGUAGGCCUCAACACUUGCAUGGGCUUUACUUCCUGGAGCUCUACCAGGUUUUCACAGCGCAUAUAAAAGAAAAAUUCCCUCAUGCUUCUGGCAUGGAGAUGGGAAAUACACCAAUCUUUGAAAGACGCAAACAGCCAAAACUCCCACAAGAAGAAAUAGAUAAUCCAAAUAUUGCCUUUAUCUUUUAAAUGAAUUUAAUCAAUACUUAGUAAUCUUCCAAAACAGAAAGCUUUAGGCCCAGAUGGGUACACUGGUGAAUUCUACCAAAUAUUUAAGAAAAAUAUAACGAUUUCUAUAAUCUCCUCCAGAAAAUAGAAGCAGAGGUAGUGCUUUCUGACUCAUUCUAUGAGGACAGCACUGUCCUAAUACAAAAACCAUACAAAGACAUUACAAGAAAAGAGAACUGUAAUCCAAUACUUAAACAAAGAUGUAAAAAUCCUUAACAGAAUAUUAGCAAAGCAAAUCCAACAAUGUAUAAAAAGAACUAUACAUGAUCAAGUGGGAUUUACCCUAGGUAUGCAAGUUUGGUUCAAUGUUUGAAACUCAAUUAAUGUAAUCCAUUAAAUCAACAGGCUAAAAAAGAAAAAAUCACAUGAUCAUAUCAAUAAAUGCAGACAAAGCAUUUGACAAAAUGCAAUACCCAAUCAUAAGAUAAAAUAAAAUAGAAAAAAACCUCAGCAAACUAGGAAUAGAUGGGAGCUUCCUCAACUUGAUAAAGAACAUACACAAAAACCUAUAGCUAGCUAACAUCAUACUAAAUAGUGAGCUUUCCUGCUAAGAUAUGGAACACAGUAAGGAUAUCUCCUCUCACCACUGCUUUUCAACAUACUAGAAGUUCCAACUAAUGCAAUGAGACAAGAGUAGUAAAUAAAAGACAUACAGAGAGGGAAGGAAGAAAUAAAACGACCUUUGUUCACAGAUGACAUGAUUGUCUAAGUAAAAGCUACAAAAGAAUCGACCAAAAAAAUCUCCUGGAACUAGUAAGUGAUUAUAGCAAGAUUGUAGAAUCAAGAUUAAUAAACAAAAGUUAACCACUUUCUUAUAUACAAGCAAUGAACAAGUGGAAUUUGAAGUUAAAAAUACAAUAUCAUUUACAUUAACACUGAAAAAAGAUGAAAUACUUAGGUAUAAAUGUAAAAAAAUAUGUACAGGCUCUAAAGAAAUCUACAAAACUCCAAAGAAAAAUAUCAAAGAAUGAAAUAAAUGAAGACAUAUUUCAUAUUUGUGGAUAGGAAGAUUUAAUUUGUCAAGAUGUCAGUUCUUCCCAACUUGAUCUAUAGAUUCAAUGUAGUCCCAGUAAAAAUCCUAGCAAGUUAAUCUUGUGGCUGUUGACAAGAUUACUUUAAAGUGUAUGCAGGGAGGAAGAUGACCCAGAAUAACAAACUCAAUAUUAAAGGACAAGAACAGCAUUGGAAGACUGAUAUUGUUCUGACUUUAAGACUUAUGAUAAAGCUACAAUAAUCAAGACAGUGUGGUAUUGACAAAAGAACAAACGGACCAAUGGAACAGAACAGAGAGCCCAGAAAUAGACCCAUAUAAAUAUAGUCAAAUGAUCAUUGACAAAGGAACAAAAGCAAUACUAUGGAGCAAAGACAGUCUUUUUAACAAAUGGUACUGGAAUACCUGGACAUUAACAUGCAAAAACCUGAAUCUAGAUACAGUUCUUACAUAUUUCACAAAAAUGAUUUCAAAAUGGAUCAUAGAUUUAAAUGUAAAAUGCAAAAUUAUAAAGCUCCUAGAUGGUAACAAAGGAGAACACCUAGGUGAUCUUGGGGAUGGCGAUGACUUUUUAGAUACAACACCAAAGGCACGAUCUGUGAAAGAAAGAAUUGAUAAACUGGACUUCAUUAAAACUAAAAAUUUCUACUACACAAAAGACAAGGUCGAGAGAAUGAGAAAAUAAGCCACAGACUUGGAAACAACAGUUACAAAAGACACAUGUAAUAAAGGACUAUGAUCCAAAAGAUAUGAAGAACUCUUAAAACUUAACAACAAGAAAAUGAACAGCUUGAUCAAAAAUUGAGAAAAAGACCUGAACACACAUGUCACCAAGGAAGACAGAUAGCAAGCAAGCAUAUAAAGAGAUGUGCAACAUCAUAAGUUAUUAGGGAAUUGCAAAUUAAAACAGUAAGAUACCAUUAUAUGCUUAUUAGAAUGGCUAAAAUCUGGAACAAUGAUAUCAUCAAAGGCUGGUGAGAAAACAGAGCAAUAGAAACUCUUAUUCAUUGUUAGGGGGAAUGAAAAAUGGUACGGCCACUUUGAAAGACAGUUUGUAGUUGCUUACAAAACUCAACAUACUCUUACCAUAUGAUCUGGUAAUCACACUCUUUGGUAUUUACCAAACGGAGUUAAAUUUAUGGCUGCACAAAAACCUGCACAAUGGUAUUUAUAGCAGCUAGGUUCAUAAUUGCCAAAACAUGGACACAACCAAGAUGUCCUUCAAUGGAUAUAUAAAUUGUGUUACAUCCAGACAAUGGAAUAUCAUUUAGCACUAAAACAACAUGAGCUAUCAAACUAUGAAAAGACAUAUAGGAAACUUAAAUGACAUUACAAAGAGAAAGAAACCAAUCUGUAAAGGCCAUACACUGUAUGACUGAUGACAAGCUAUGACUUUCUGGAAAAGGAAGAAAUGUGGACAUAGUAAAAAUGUUAGUGUUUUCCUAGGGUUAGGAGAGAGGGGAGAAUGAAUAGGUAGAGCACAGGGGACUUUCUGGGCAGGGAAACUAUUCUGCAUGAUACACAGUGGGGGAUACAUGUCAUUACACAUCUGUCACAACCAAAGAAUGUGCAACACCAAGAAUGAAACUUAAUGCAAUCUAUCUAUGGACUUUGGGUGAUAACGAAGUAUCAAGGUAGGUUCAUCAAUUGUAAGAAAUGUACACUCUGGUACAAUCAAAAGUGUUGACAGUGGAGGAGACUGUGAGUGUGGGAGGACAGGAGGUAUAUGAGAAACCUCUGUACUUUUUGCUCAGUUUUACUACGAAUCUAAAACUGCUGUAAGAGAGUUCAUUACAAAAAAAAAAAAAAAAAAGUCCUAGGUUUGGGUUCUGACUGUCUACUUACUAGUUAAGUUGCCCUGGGCUAGUCAACUUAUUAGGCCUUGUAAACUGCUGGUAUAACUGGUAUUUACUUCCCAGGAUUGCCAAGAGACUGCAGUGAAAUGCUGGGUGUGAGAACACUUUGUGAAAUGCUAGAGACCAGUGCCUUUGGCUUCCUGCAGAGGCAACCAAACAAUUUCUCAUCAUUUUCCACUGAGCCAGCAUUGGUCGUUGCAGAUGUGGGAAUACCUCAUCCUUUUAUGAUCUUACAAAAAAUUAGCAUGAGCUCCAAGAAAAUCCCAAACAAAAGCUGAUGAAACUUCGCAGGAUGCCAAGGAAGCAGCUGGCACCAUAAACACUGUGAGAGCUUUGCUGGCACGCCUCCCCCCAGUGAGCUGCCAACUGCUCUUGAUGGGGGGACCUGGCGCUGCAGUGGAGAAACAAACUCAGGAGAGGAGGCGAGGCCAUUCUAUCAGCUGCCUCUGGCCUGAAGCAAGAGGACACCUUUGGAGAACUCCUCUUGCAGGGGCCCACCAAGUUUCAGUGCAUGUCCCAUGCUACACACCUUGAGGGAAAGCGAUGCAUGGCCCAGAUCCUUCAGGAUGAAGCAUCCAGGUUUCAGGAGCUGAAAGAAAUGCAGCUGCCUACUGCUUAAUCUUCAUCCAAUCAGUACGAUGGUGGCUUUUGGAAUCAAGCUUGGGAGGAAGGCACGCCGAAGGGAUAAGAUGAAAGAGCAGGCACUUUGCAAGAAGAUGGGGAACUGGAGCCCAGCCGUGACCCCCAAAAUAGACAUGGAGAUACAGAUAAUAUAUUUUUCUAUCCAAUAGCCCAAGGGAGAACCUCUUCCAUUAAAAACACUUUUGAUACAAAGCCAGACUGCCCAAGAUGACUGCCUAAAAAUAUAUGAAAAUCUAGGAAAAACAAGCUCUCCAUCCUGGAGGGAAUGUCAAUGGAAAAUCGUUAUUAGGCUUUUCCAGUUACCAGUAAUAAAAGAAAAAUAGGCUCCCCAUUAUGAGCCCAGAGCUGGAGGGGUCAUCAGCUGGUUCUGGGCCAGCCUCAGAAUUUUCUGAGUGCAUUACAAAUUACAGGAACAAGAUGUGGACUUUUCACUCUAAUUAUGUCUUCUGAGUCCAGACAAUUUAUUAUUAGGUUUACUUCCCAGUGGACUAGAGUUGAAAAAGAUGCCUCCAUGUGUGAAUAAUGUUUAUAAGCUUUUAAAGCACAUACAUUCUUACACUGAACAGCAAUUGUACCAUGCACAUAGGCUUUCAAUGAAAGAAUUAAGAAAAAUACAAAUAAGGCAUUAAUCCUUUCAUUCAUCAAACACUGAUAAUAUGCCUUAAUAUUUAUAUUCUUGGCAAAGUCUCUGCCCCUUUAGGUCUCGUUAGUUGUACCUUAUUUUUGUCUGCUAGUUCACUGUGAAGUCUUUUGAAAGUAGGGUCAUAUCUUAGUCAUCUCUGAUUCUUUGUCCCAGUACAGUGCCUAACAUAAAGAAGACUAUAAAGUCAGAUGAAGGAAUUUCUCUUUUGUAAGCUGCAGGUGAAGGCAUUUUUCCAUUAUGUUUUCCAUGGGUGCAUAAAUAUCUAUGCAAUAAAUCCCUCUUAGAGUCUAAUGCUAGGAGGGGAAAAUACCUCCAUGAUGUUCUUUUCCUUUACAUAACAACAAGAAUACAGCACUUUAUGUUUCCUUUAUUUAUCUGGAUCCCAGGAAGUGUAAAGUCAAGUUUUAAGCUCAAUUAGUCACUUAGCCUAAUACUUCUAAUACAAAGCUUUCCCCUCUUAAUUACUCUUUUACCUGGCUCCUUAUCUUUUACCCCUGUUUUACACAAACUUUAAGUUUCCUCAAAUCCCUGGUUGAGGAAGAAAAUAGGGAACUAAAAAUAAUAAAUGAACAAAGCACUAAGAAAGCAAGUUAGUACAUUUCUUAUAUAAGUACGUUUCUUAUACAAGCUGCAGAAAUCCUCUUGAGAUGCAAUGGUGUUACAUCCAUGACCAUUGACUGUGUUUCAAAAUAAAGGAACAGAGCAAACAUAAUGUGAUCCCGAGGAAGAGAGUGCUGGCCUGGAAGACCAGCAUCACAGGCUGAAUUUCCACCUCUGCCCCCCACUAGCUGUGUGACCUUGAACAAGAUACUUAAAUUCACUAGCAACAGUUUCCUCAUCUCAUAAAUGGAGUGCAUUUGUUCUUCCAACCAACACAGACUGAAUCCUUACUAUGUGGCAGAUACAGUGUCAAGUAAAAAAGAUGAGAUCCAUGCACUCAAGUUAGCACACAGUCUCGUAAAAGAGACAUAAGAGGAUUACAUAAACAGGUGAUUACAGUCUAACGUGAUCAUUGCUACACUACACAGGGUACAGAAGAGGCACAGAAGGGAGCCAUGUAAAGAAGACUGGAGGAUUUGAAAGGAGACUGCAGUUGCAUUGAUUUUUAAAGUAUUGGGAAUUAACCAGAUGAAAAUGGGUCAGAGAGGGGAAGAGGGCAUUCCAGGACUCAGGAAGAGCACAUGUGAAAUCACAAAGACACAAGAUACAUGACGAGAGUGGGCAACUACAGACUGUUGGGAAAUAAUAUAGUAUAUGUCCUGUCUACCUCCCGGGUAGUUUCGAGGAUCAGUUGAGUGGAUGUUUACAUUUAAAGUGCUUUAUAAACUGUAAAGCACCAUACACAUGUUCAAAUGUAAAAGAUUAUUAUUAGACACUCAUUUUUUUCUCCCUCCAAAUUGGAAACAUUUGCUGAAGUAAACAUUGCUGAUGCAUUAGCUGUCAGGAUGGUGUAUUAUAUUUGGAAAACAUUUGCCAAUGCCUGUUGAGUUUUUAAAUUCUCAGUCACAUGUGUUUUUUGUUUGAGAAAAUACAUCAAGUAAUAAUGGAUUUAUUGUUAAUUGUGCAAUAUUGGAGUUUCAAGGUUUAAGUAAUUUCUCUUCCAUGUUGACUUUAUUCCAUGCUGACUGUGGAGUUUGCAGUCAUUUAUUUAUUAAUGAGAACUGAUAAGUGAACACUAUCACCACCUUGUAGUGAUCAAAUUUUGCUAUCAGAGGAAAUUCAGGAUUCUUUACACGGGCAAGUGUGCCAAUAAAAACAAUUCCUUCUGAGAAAAGGAGAAAAAGAAGUGAAGUGUGGUUACCUCCACUUAAAAUAGCUUCCCAAACAAGGCCCAGUGGAGCUCAGAUCCAAAUACUCAUCUCCCUUUUCAGCACUUCAAGAACCAAACACUUCCUUCUUAGGGACAUUUUUCUAUGGUUAGAGAAAUCAACAAUAAGUAUUUUGGGUAGAAAAAUUAGGAUGGAUAACUCAUGCUCAAAAUUCUUGACAUUUAUACACCAUCAGUCAUUGGAGGGUUUGAAUCACUACAAUUAAAAAGUGCAUUCCUAUUUUCCCUCCUUCCUGUAAGACAUUCCUCAAAGAGGAAGAUCUGAAAAAGAAAAAGAUAAUAGGAUUUUUUUCAUGUUGCCAACAAGUUGUCUGGACUUUACCUUUUCAUACUUACACUCUCAGAAAAUAAUCAUAUCCUGCCACCUCUCCACCUUGUAAAAGACAAGCAUUUCAAGUCUUGGAAGGUCUGUAUUAGUGAUGAAAUCGUAUUACCGAGCCAUGAUUAAUUAAGCCACUCAUCAGCAAUUUUGGUCAUCAGGAUCUAAUACAUCACAUUGAUGAACUAAGUAUUACAUUCAUUUAUUUUGUUUUGCAUAGAGGAGAACAGAAUGAUAGCUCAUCAAAGCUAGAUGGGACUUGAAAGGCUCUUCUGGGCGACAUCCCAUUUUAUGGAUGAGAAAGACCUAGGGAAAGUCUACUCAUUGGUUUACAGUCAGGCAGUGAAUAAAUGGCACAGUGGGGAUUAGACGCUGACUCUCUUAUCCAACAGGGCAGUAUCUCUGGAUGCAAAGCCAACAUCUAAAAAAAAAAGAUGGAGGAAUUGCAGUUGCUCGGGGGAGAGGCUUCAGGCAAGGGGUCCACCUGCUGCCACUCCAAGCCCACUCCUUCAGGGCGCUGCCAAGCUCCUCUCUCCAAGGAGCAGCAUGAGAGCACCAGGGCUCCAAGGACCUGUUGGCAAGUAAGAAAACCAGUCAUGAUGUGCUUGAGGCAGGCAGCUCCCACACGGCGAUCUGAGUGGCCCUGGCACUGUGGUAGGGCUCCCAGCUGAAGCGACAAGCCCCGCUGCGCCUGGACAGGAGCAGUGGCUGAAACUCCGGACAGCCUGACUUGCUUUAGAGGCUGGCUGGAAAAAAAAAUGGUUUCUUGUAGAAUUCCUGUUAGUGCAGUCAGCUCCCAUUCUCUUGUGAAACUGGAUUUGUAGGCACAUGCACAGGCCAAUGAGUCAGCUCUGAAAAAGUCAUUCAUAAUUUAUGUAUAAACAAGAAUAGCUUUUGUUUCAGAGAAUUUGGGAGGUUUUUGUAGGCUGCUUUCUUCCAGUACCAUUUCUGAAGAACUGUUCCUGUCUCAAGGCGGUUCCUAUGGGCCUAUAAAUACUUUGAUGUUCAGACAUCUGGAACUUAUAUUUGGUGUUGACUAAUGAGUAUUAUUAUUUUAUUAUGUAUUUAUAUAUGAUCUGAAAGAAAUUUGAGGUUAUAUGCCACAUAACUCUGUAUAUACACUGAACAAUGACAAAUUCUUUUUACCCAUUACACUUAUGAUUUAUUACUCAGGCAGAAGAAGUUCUGAGUCAUUCAAUUGACAUAUAAUUGUGUUUUGGAAGAUAGUAAUGGGAUAGAGAGAAUGUAAAAUUGCCCUUAACAUAUAUCGUUAAAAUAAUUUGUAAGUAGACAAAAUGGACUCCAGAGAUAUUAUUUCCCUCAUUUCUUAAAAAUAUCAAAGGAUAGCCAAUAGGGAAACAAACUACAGUGCUCCUUUUGAAUGAGUCAAGAAGAACCCUGGUCUUAGAAAUACAUGUGGUCAUGUUUGAAAGGGCAAUAAACAAUGCAUAAUGGAUCUGACUUCAGAGAAUGUCUAUUGGAGAAGCAGACCCAUUUCAAAGUCAAAUGUUCAAUACCCAGUUUGCCUUGGUACCAGUAAGCCACAGAUAAACAUUCAGAUCAAAGGGAAAGGUGGGUGUGUGGAGGGGCGUGUGGCGACAUUACUUUCUCCACAAAGCAUCUCCCCCAAGGGACACUGGGAACCAGCACCUUUAACAGUCUCUGUUGUAUAUUCAGGAAUGUAUUUUGGAGGAGGGGCAGAGGUAUUCUGGUCUGCAAGAAUUGCAAUUCAAAGGCCAUUAAACAAGAGGUGUACUGAAGGUGGCAUGCACUUGGGAAGAGGAUACUGAGUUGGAAAGGGAUAAAUGGAGCUAUUGUGGGCCACGCUGAUCCAUGCUGUCUUGCUUCUCCCUCCCACAAACAACAUCAGUGUAAACUGGUUUGGCUCAUCAGCAGGCCGUCUGGCCCUUCGUGUAAAAAUGAGCCCUCUGUGCAGGCAGGCAGAGCAGCUGCCAACAAAGGCCCAUGGAGUGUUUGAAAGCCUGAGCUUACUGCUGGAUCAAAGCAUUUCUAGAGGCUAAAGCUGUGAACAGGAUAUGCCAUCAACAGUGGUAGGAACUUUCUACAGCUCCCCUAAAGAACCCUUCUAAGUGACAUAACUGCUUUGUUAACAGUCCCCAAUUUCAGUUCCCACAGUGUGGGCAGUAUUCAUUUAAAGUCACUAACCUAGAAUUCAUACUGAAUUGAGUUUUAGGGCCUUUGUCCAAGCAUUAGCUGACUCCAUAGCAGGGAAGAAGUUAGAAAAGACCUAGUGGAUCCCACAACAGAAAAAGAAGGAGCAAACCAACAGAAAACAAAGGAAAAUCAAAACUUCGUUUUAAGAAUGUUAUAAAAUGAAGAAGCAUUUCCAGUCUUUACCCCCUGUCCCCCCCCCCCCACACACACACACACCUUUCAGGGACUUUAUUUUAUGGUCCAUUAUAAAUAAAUUAGAAUAUUGCUCAGAAGCAUUAGGUUAAGAAGCAUAAGUUUAAAUAGAUGUUCGAAUAGAUUGAAUAGUUUGAAUAGAUGCAAAAUCCUGAGAUGUAAGGAUAAAACUUACAGGCUAUGUUUAGAUUGCAUGAGAGUUAUCUGUCCUAUAUAUUUUAAAGUGUGUCACAAUAUUUUCCUUUGACUGUCUUCCAAUGAAUGUAUUUCUUGUCCAAAGGAUUAUGUGAGGGUUAGCUGAUUAGAAGUAAACAAGAAAUAUAUUUAUUCAAAGCAAACAGAGCAACAGAGGAGUAUCAUGAACCAACCUCAUUAUAAAUAAUGGAAAAAUAGAUGUCAACCUUUACCACUGAUCACCCUAGUAGUUCCCAAAAAUGUUCUCUUCCUGAACAGCUAUUCCUACUCCAUGCCUAAGCAAUGCCAGCUAAGCAGCGUAAUGUAUCAGCUAAUCUUGCCUAUCACGCCUCCCACUUUAUUUCAGUCUACUUGUACUUGGAAUUAGGCCAUGUUUCUAACUUGGGUUGAUAAGUUUGGGCUUCUAAUGAAAUCAUAAAUAUGUUCCAAUCCCCUCAUUCCAGGGCUCCUGUGUAGCUCCAUAUUAUAACUGUAAAAAUCCAUCAUUCUAGAUUAGCCCCAUCCUAAGGAUUGUGUUCACAUUUCCCAACAUCUAUCUGUAAUCAGAUGGUUUGACCUGUGGAGUUAAGAGUUGCCCAAUUUUGGGUUUCACUCCAUCUAGUAAGACACAGACCCUGCAUGAUUUUGCUCAGGUCAUUUCACACAACAAUAUUCUGGUCCAAUUCUUCCAAACUUUAUGGAGCUUCUAUUUUGCUGCUCCCCAGCCUCACCCCUGCAUGGUGGUCACUACUUGGAUUUCCAGACUCUGGAUGACCCAGAUGAGAUGCUCCAGUACCAACUGCUUCCAGAAAUAUUCCUGGAAUGCUGGAUCCCAGAGGCGUUUUUCCAAGACUGCUCCUUGACCUCUCUAGAACCAACCAAAAACUGUAUACUUUAUAGGCUGGUGGAACUUCCUUCAGACAUUCCUCUAUGCAUGUACAUAAAUUUCAUGUAUUUUCUGUAAGUUGGAAAAUACACAUAUUCAAAUACUGCUUUUUCCCCUCAAAUGCAUGUGAUGGAUUUUUUUCCUUGGCAAUAAACACAGCAUUAUAACAUCAUUGUAAUUGCUAUAAUACAUUCCAUCAUUUCUCUAUAUUAUAGUACACUUAACCAUCUUCCUACUGAUAGGCAUUGCAUUAUACUUUUCUAUAAUAAUAAAAAUAUCUUAAUGCUCACCCUUUUGGUGAUUUGCACCAGUCUCCUUCAAAUAGAUUUCCAUAAGUAGAAUAUGGAUGUCAGUGUAUAUUUAUACUUUAUA